rnacentral:rRNA from 1 species
UACGGAGGUCCCAAGCGUUGUUCGGAUUCACUGGGCGUAAAGGGUGCGUAGGCGGCCGGGUAAGUCUGAUGUGAAAUCCCGCAGCUUAACUGCGGAACUGCAUCGGAUACUCUCCGGCUAGAGGAAUGGAGGGGAGACUGGAAUUCUCGGUGUAGCAGUGAAAUGCGUAGAUAUCGAGAGGAACACCAGUGGCGAAGGCGAGUCUCUGGACAUUUCCUAACGCUGAGGCACGAAAGCCAGGGGAGCAAACGGG